GUUGGAACUCCAUUAUAGUUUUUCGAUGGCGUAUGACGAUAUGACGUAGUUGGCUAAUCUCUAUUGAGAUUGGCCGCUGUGGCCGAAAUCAUUCUGGAGGAAAUUAUUAUUGUUAUAGUUUUUCGAACUAUACCACGAGUAUAUAAACAUUCGAUGUGAUGUCAUGGUGACUAUGGCUGCUCAUUUUCAAGCCGCCGAACCACGAGUGGAGCACAGAACGGAUGGGGCAUAGAUGCGAUACAACAGAAUCCCGCAGUCUCGCCGAUCCGUAUCGAGGACAUAAUCCGGCCCGAGAAAAAAAUGCAUUGGGCGCUCAGAUGUUACUGGUCGGUCAUUUUGCCAAGUACCUGCUCGGCAACAAAAACACUUCAGGGAGCGCAGCAGUCAGAAGGAACAUGAAAGCGACUUUAAACGAAAGAAAGGCUUAAAAGAAGCGGAAGCUAAUUUCUGAUGAUGAGGUACAGGUAAAGAAGUUGCAGUAAGAAGCUGGUUGAGAAAAUUAGGCGGACGGAUGGUAUUAAUGUAUGGUAUAAAUGGACGGAGUCAUCUGAUGGUAAGUGGUCACCGUCGAUUGACAUUGGCGAUGUCAGAAAUAACAGCCAUCCCUUACAUAACCAAUGCGCCACCAAUCUUGGAAACUAAUAGUAAGAUGUUGUGUCCCUUAUGCCUGCAGUUACACUGGCUCACUCACCCUUCAAACCGGAACAUAAUAAAACUAUUGCCAUUUAGCGGUAGAAUAAGCCAGUCUUAGUGUGCCUCUGGUGCUUGAUAUGAUAUAAGGACUCCUCACGGCUGGACUCCAUGACCAACUAAUAUCUCAGAAGACUCAGCUGAAAGUAAUCUUUAAAUUAAUAUGAAGAUUUUUUUCGUGUGACAAAGAAAUAUUCUACUCACAGAAAAUAUAAAAUACUCUUUCUAAACCCAUUUCAACGUAAAUACAAGAUCGACAUAAUAUCGGUAUUUUCAUUUCGAUUACAUUUUUAUUUAUAUGUUAUAUAUACAUAUUUUAAUAGGUUUUAUUAAAAUUGCCUUAUGCAGUUAUUCUUUGUUGCGAUAUAAAUAUUUAUUUGAAGUAGAUAAUAAAUAUCGGCAUUACGUAGCCAAUCACCAAUUUCUAGGUGUGUCUUAUAUGUCAAAACUUUAAAAAGUACUAAAAAUUGUCUAUGAUCUGUAUUGAAAUUCCACCUCAUAGAGAAGUAUUGCUGCGUGAGAGCAAGGUCUUUGUCAGUUAACUCAGUGACAAUUAAUACGUUAAUAGCUUAUAGUUGUUUAAAUAAAGACUGAUAUUAACAAUAACACAGUACAGUAACUUCAAAAUGCCUUCAUUCGGAAUUUCACUUCAAUUCCACCCUAUAAACAAAAUUUAUUUCAAGAUAAAUCUUAAAAUAUAGUACAAAUACGUUACGUCGAUUAUUAGAUUUUUAAUGGCAAGUAAAGCCGUACAUCAAUUUUAAGACGAAUUUAAUUAAAAACAAACAGAUGAAUUAUGUUUAUGAUAAUGAAAUAUUAAUUAAAGAAUUCAACAAUGGCAAAACGAGUUUAGUAUAUAGAAUGAAAAUAGUAAUCAAAUGAUAAAAUUGGCAUUCCUAUUCUCCAUACUGAUGAGUUAUAAAUUUGGAUUAAUUAAUACAAAAUCAAAACUCUCAAGAGCCUACUCUAAUCCAUUUCACCCAGAAGACGAUUCCGAAGAAGAUGAAGAUGCCGCCUUUAAAUAUGACAGCGAAAGUGAUAAAUUUGAUGAGGUUAAAGUUACGAAAAGUGAGAGAAAAUUAAAAAUAAAUGGCAGGUUUUUUGACAAUAUAAUGAAUAAAGAAUAUUAAUAUUA